rnacentral:rRNA from 1 species
GAUGAACGCUGGCGGCGUGCUUAACACAUGCAAGUCGAACGGAAAGGCUCCUGCUUGCCGGGGUACUCGAGUGGCGAACGGGUGAGUAGCACGUGGGUGAUCUGCCCUGCACUUCGGGAUAAGCCUGGGAAACUGGGUCUAAUACCGGAUAGGACGAUGGUUUGGAUGCCAUUGUGGAAAGUUUUUCGGUGUGGGAUGAGCUCGCGGCCUAUCAGCUUGUUGGUGGGGUAAUGGCCUACCAAGGCGUCGACGGGUAGCCGGCCUGAGAGGGUGUACGGCCACAUUGGGACUGAGGUACGGACCAGACUCCUACGGGAGGCAACAGGGGGGAAUAUUGCACAAUGGGCGCAAGCCUGAUGCAGCGACGCCGCGUGGGGGAUGACGGCCUUCGGGUUGUGAACUCCUUUCGCUAGGGACGAAGCGCAAGUGACGGUACCUGGAGAAGAAGCACCGGCUAACUACGUG